AGCCCUGACAGCCGUCCUCCGUCCUCCUCUGGGUACCAACUCUCUUACGCUGCGCACUGCCGUGCGUUUAACCCAGGCGAGGAGGAGGAGGAGAAAAUUCCCCCAGAUCCGGGCAGGAUGAAGCUUUAACUGAACUGAAGGAAAGAGAAACAGCCCUGAGUCUUUGGAGGUCUGUCUGAAUUUGGGGCCCUGCACAAGUACAAGCCUGGUGGAAAAAAGUAAACUCCUCCUGCUUCCAGCAAGUUGGUCCUUCUCAACUUGCAUCCUGGGUAAAACCCGUGAGACUGAGUGGAAGUGCCUUGCCCAGACGUGCACACAUCCCAUUUAGGCAAGCCAGCUCCACGCACUGGAUCAG
rnacentral:lncRNA from 1 species